rnacentral:misc_RNA from 1 species
GAUGAAGAACGUAGUAAAAUGCGAUAAGUAAUGUGAAUUGCAGAAUUCAGUGAAUCAUCGAAUCUUUGAACGCACAUUGCGCCCGCUGGUAUUCCGGCGGGCAUGCCUGUUCGAGCGUCAUUUCAACCCUCAAGCCCCCGGGUUUGGUGUUGGGGAUCGGCUCUGCCUUCUGGCGGUGCCGCCCCCGAAAUACAUUGGCGGUCUCGCUGCAGCCUCCAUUGCGUAGUAGCUAACACCUCGCAACUGGAACGCGGCGCGGCCAUGCCGUAAAACCCCAACUUCUGAAUGUUGACCUCGGAUCAGGUAGGAAUACCCGCUGAACUUAAGCAUAUCAAUAAGCGGAGGA